UACGAAGGUCCCGAGCGUUGUUCGGAAUCACUGGGCGUAAAGGGAGCGUAGGCUGCGCGGUAAGUCAGGUGUGAAAUCCCGGGGCUCAACCCCGGAACUGCACCCGAUACUGCCGUGCUUGAGGGUUGGAGAGGUAGCUGGAAUUCUCGGUGUAGCAGUGAAAUGCGUGGAUAUCGAGAGGAACACUCGUGGCGAAGGCGAGCUACUGGACAACAUCUGACGCUGAGGCUCGAAGGCCAGGGGAGCAAAAGGG
rnacentral:rRNA from 1 species